rnacentral:ncRNA from 1 species
AUGAAGAAGGGCAUAGUAAUCGACGAAAUGCUUCGGGGAGUUGAAAAUAAGCAUAGAUCUGGAGAUUCCCAAAUAGGGCAACCUUUCGAACUGCUGCUGAAUCCAUGGGCAGUCUAGAGGACAACCUGGCGAACUGAAACAUCUUAGUAGCCAGAGGAAAAGAAAGCAAAAUA